rnacentral:lncRNA from 1 species
AUGUGCCAGCUGAAGUGGUGGAUAAGAUCUGAAACUUCAUUAUCUGAUGGGUGAUGGCACAUUCCUUUGAACUGUACAGCUGACUUAAGCUUCCUCACCAACAUAAAGGAGAAAUACUGUUCUUUUUUGCUGCCUUGCCACCAUAGAGUACCUCCAUGUCAAAUUUUUACCCUGGUGCUAGGAUCCCAAGAUAUAGAGUAGCUUUUAAGUUAUAUGUUGCAUUUCAUGACAUGAUUUGAAGCCAAUGUUCAUAGUUCUGAUAAAGCUAGUUCUACCCCUCAAGCAAGAUGAGGAUAUUUUGGAAUAGAACCUGACCAUGCCUGUGUUGCAAAUUCCAGAUAUAAAUGUAUGCAGCAUGGUGAAGGGAAUUAUUUGUUGACAAAGAUGGGGGUGCUUAUUUCCUGGGGAAUGGGCGGUUA